CCUCUUCUCCACAGAUGUCCAAGAGUUGGAUAAAAAGAAAAGAGAUUUGAUCUCUUGAUUUCUUCUCCUCUAUGAUCAGUUUAUGGAUGGAAAUGAAAGAAAAGAGAUUGGAUUUUUUAUUUUUCUUCUUCAGAUCUUCUUCUUUCUCUUAAGAAGAGAAAGACAAAAGAAAUCAGAUUAGAUCUGAUUUCUUGAUCUUUUUAUAGAUCUAUUUGAUUCCUUUGAGAAGAGAAUCAAAAGAGAUAAAAGAUUCGACAAUUCAAGAAGCAAUCUCUACAAGAGAGCUAG
rnacentral:lncRNA from 1 species